rnacentral:rRNA from 1 species
GACGAACGCUGGCUGCGUGCUUAACACAUGCAAGUCGAACGCUGAAGCCCCAGCUUGCUGGGGUGGAUGAGUGGCGAACGGGUGAGUAACACGUGAGUAACCUGCCCCUGACUUCGGGAUAAGCCCGGGGAACUGGGUCUAAUACCGGAUACGACUAUCGGACGCAUGUCUGGCGGUGGAAAGUUUUUUCGGUUGGGGAUGGGCUCGCGGCCUAUCAGUUUGUUGGUGAGGUAAUGGCUCACCAAGACGACGACGGGUAGCCGGCCUGAGAGGGCGAACGGCCACACUGGGAUUGAGACACGGCCCAGACUCCUACGGGAGGCAGCAGGGGGGAAUAUUGCACAAUGGGGGAAACCCUGAUGCAGCGACGCAGCGUGCGGGAUGACGGCCUUCGGGUUGUAAACCGCUUUCAGCAGGGAAGAAGCCUUCGGGUGACGGUACCUGCAGAAGAAGUACCGGCUAACUACGUG